GCCUGAGUGGCUUAGUAGGUUAAGCACCUGAUUCUUGGUGUCAGCUCAGGUCAUAAUCUCACGGUUUGUGGGUUCGAGCCCCACGUAGGGUU
rnacentral:tRNA from 1 species